GUAGGUGGCAAGCGUUGUCCGGAAUUAUUGGGCGUAAAGCGCGCGCAGGCGGUUCUUUAAGUCUGAUGUGAAAGCCCACGGCUCAACCGUGGAGGGUCAUUGGAAACUGGAGAACUUGAGUACAGAAGAGGAAAGCGGAAUUCCGCGUGUAGCGGUGAAAUGCGUAGAGAUGUGGAGGAACACCAGUGGCGAAGGCGGCUUUCUGGUCUGUAACUGACGCUGAGGCGCGAAAGCGUGGGGAGCAAACAGGAUUAGAUACCCUGGCAGUCCACGCCGUAAACGAUGAGUGCUAAGUGUUAGGGGGUUUCCGCCCCUUAGUGCUGCAGCUAACGCAUUAAGCACUCCGCCUGGGAGUACGGCCGCAAGGCUG
rnacentral:rRNA from 1 species